AGUGAACGCUGGCGGCGUGCCUAACACAUGCAAGUCGUGCGCGAAAGGGAGCAAUCCUGAGCAAAGCGGCGAACGGGUGAGUAACACGUGGUUAACCUGCCUGGAUGUGGGGGAUACCCCGGGGAAACUCGGGACAAUACCGCAUGAUGUCUCUCGGGCGUCGGCCCGGGAGAGCAAAGCCGGGGACCGCAAGGCCUGGCGCAUCCAGAGGGGACCGCGGCCGAUUAGCUAGUUGGCGGGGUAACGGCCCACCAAGGUGACGAUCGGUAGCCGGCCUGAGAGGGUGAUCGGCCACACCGGAACUGAGACACGGUCCGGACUCCUACGGGAGGCAGCAGUGGGGAAUUUUGCGCAAUGGGCGAAAGCCUGACGCAGCAACGCCGCGCGGAGGAUGAAGGUGCUCUGCAUUGUAAACUCCUGUCGGCCGGGAAGAAUCGGCGGGGUGCUAAUCAGCCCUGUCUUGACUGUACCGGCAAAGGAAGCCCCGGCUAACUCCGUGCCAGCAGCCGACGG
rnacentral:rRNA from 1 species